GAUUCGGCAUUGGCUAAAACAUCAUUCAUUGUUUUGACUAUUUAAUCACACCUUGUCGUCGUUGAGUUUUUAUUUAAUUUUUUUAUUUUUUAUGGUUAUAAAUAACAAUUUCUCACUUCUCAUGUUUCCAUUUAUUCUUCUGAGCUAUGCAUACUGGUUAAUUAUGCACGUUUCAUAUUGAAUAUUUGCUUAUUUAUUGAUAUGUGAUUGCACUCAUCUGGACUUUCAGAUGGAUGUCGUGAGAUGCUUUAGUGAUGCAGAGGGCCCACAGUGGAAACACUCUCUUUUUGGGAAUCCACAGGAUCCCGAAACUUUCAGGUUUGUGCAAUUUUCCUCCUUCAAAUCAAAGCUAGAGGAGUUCUGGAAAUCAUCCUGUUCCUAUCACUCUCUCUGAAUAGCGUGAAUACAUGAACACAUGUUGCCCUCUCUAAUAGCUUAAGCUUUAAAUCAAGUAGUUCAUUUCUCUCCAAAACUCAUUUAUUAACAUUAUGCACAUGCAAAACUUCGAUGGAAAAAAAAUGAAUAAAAUGAAC
rnacentral:lncRNA from 1 species